rnacentral:rRNA from 1 species
GGGCCCGCACAAGCGGUGGAGCAUGUGGCUUAAUUCGAGGCAACGCGAAGAACCUUACCCGGGCUUGAAAUAUAACGGACCGCCGAUGAAAGUCGGCUUUCCUUCGGGACUGUUAUACAGGUGCUGCAUGGCUGUCGUCAGCUCGUGCCGUGAGGUGUUCGGUUAAGUCCGGCAACGAGCGCAACCCGUGUCAUCAGUUGCCAGCAGGUAAAGCUGGGGACUCUGAUGAGACUGCCCGUGUUAAGCGGGAGGAAGGCGCGGAUGACGUCAAGUCCGUAUGGCCUUUAUGUCCGGGGCCGCACACGUGCUACAAUGGUGGGUACAAUGAGAUGCGAUGUCGCGAGGCGGAGCAAAUCUACAAAACCCACCCUAGUUCAGAUUGCAGUCUGCAACUCGACUGCAUGAAGCUGGAAUCGCUAGUAAAGGCGUAUCAGCUACGACGCCUUGAAUACGUUCCCGGGCCUU